AGAUUUUCCCAUUUUAUUCCUUCCUGGAGCCUGUGAGGAAAAAACAGCAGGCCAGAGGGACUCAGCACGAUGGUCGACCCCAUCCCUUUGCCAUCUAUGGAUCCCAGCGAUGCCAAAACAGAGAUGGUCACCAAGCUUUUCUGUGUCCUCUCUAAAGCGGUUGAGGAGCUGGGUUUCGCAGUCGUCUGGAUGAAUGGUUCCUGCCGGGGCGCCGCAAGGCCCUUUGUUAGCGAGCCACUCCAUUCUUCCCGGAGGUCCAUGAUGAACUUACAAAAUUUUGGUACAUUCCCUAAUCGGCUCGCCUCUGUACAUCCGCUUCAUCCACCCUCACCUCUGUGGACGGUGCUGAAGAGAAGGGCUACAAGAAGCUGCCUCUGCUGGAAGAGUCAGUAGCCGCCCACCUCUGCCCGCCCGCUGCCAUCGGAUGGAAGGCUAAGGUCUCCCACCCGUCCAAGCCGUGGCAGGUGAGAGCAGAAGUCCAAAAGUCCAAAAAUAAGGGCCACCCUACUGUGCAGUGGAAUUCCGAGCAUCUGUCUGCGUUGAGCUCAUGUCCGCCCCUCCGCCGGACUCAGCACUGCCCCUUUAUCUGCAAUCAUACUGAGAGUCAUCCAGCACAGGGCACAGGACUGAGGGGAGCACAGGAGCCAUGGCCGUGUUCUCAGCGCUUUAUUCACUCUUUCUGUUCCAGCUGUUGACAUCGUCUCUCGCUCAGCAAAAGCCGGGUCCUCGGGGUGCACCUGGAGCGCCAGGGCCGCUGGGACCCCCAGGGAAAGAUGGCAUCGACGGUAAACCUGGCCCUGCCGGACUUCCUGGAAAGCCUGGGCUGAAAGGUAAAGCAGGUAAACCUGGGGCCGCAGGAAGCCCGGGACUGCCUGGCCUCCCUGGUGUGGAUGGUUUGACUGGUCCGGACGGUCCAGCUGGCAAGGAUGGACCAUCAGGAGCAGCAGUAAGUGACUCUCAUUAUGGUUGUCUCAUUGGGGAGGAUAGAUCUCCAGCGGUCGGGUUUUUCUCUGCAUCCAUCUGUCCUCCAGGUCCUCCUGGACCCCCGGGAAUGCCUGGAUUCAAGGUACUUGAUCUCAGCAACACUGGUUCUCGAGGGCUGAGAGGACUGCAGGGGCCAGUGGGAGCAGUAGGAGACAGAGGAUUGCCUGGCUUCAGAGGAAAACCUGGAAUUGCUGGCAUCAUUGGAAAAACUGGUGAUGCUGGUGAGAAAGGACCGCAAGGUUUCAAAGGGCCCAAAGGAGAGAUAGGGAAAAUAGGCCCAAAGGGACUCCCUGGAGGUGCAGGACCUAAAGGCGAACCGGGCAUCCCAGGCAGGGACGGGAAGGAUGGCACUCAAGGGCUGGACGGUGAAAAGGGAGAUGCUGGGAGACCUGGAGUACCUGGUGAGAAAGGACCUAACGGCCUGCCUGUACAAUCCUUCUCUGUUCAGGGCAGUCCAGGAAAGAUGGGAGAAGCAGGACCGUCUGGAGAGCCAGGUAUACCUGGUGAGAUUGGCAUCCCUGGAGAGAGAGGAGAGGCUGGACCCAGAGGUGUGGCUGUAACAGUAGUUGAUGAAAUGUAUUACGUUUGUGUUUCCAUACAGGGUAUUAAAGGAGCUUUAGGUGAUCCAGGUCUGCCUGGUCCUACUGGAAUCAGAGGUGGCUUUGGUGAGCGGGUGAGUGACACAUAUAUGUCUGGAGUUGCUGGAAGUGAUGGUUUACCGGGGGAGAACGGGGAGCCCGUACGUAACACUUCCGGUAAGCGUGGUGAGCUGGGAGCCAAAGGAGUUGUAGGACCACAGGGAGAGACUGGAGCCAGGGGGGCACCUGGAAAACCAGGACCAAUGGGAUUUCAAGGAGAACAAGGUUUUCCAGGAGUUGCUGGAAAGACUGGUGUUCCUGUUCAUGAUGCAACCUGUAACAUUGGUGUGUUGAUCUUAGAUCAGAUAGCUCAGCUCGCUGCUAACCUGAGAAGACCUCUGGCUCCUGGUGCUGUGGGACGGCCUGGACCACCGGGGCCUCCAGGAAAGCCAGGAGAAGUUGGAUCCAUUGGUCACCCUGGAGCCCUUGGCCCGCCAGGUUAUAGAGGACUGCCAGGAGAUCUCGGUGAUCCUGGUCCUCGAGGAGAUGUCGGUGAGCCAGGUGAUAAGGGGCCUGUAGGUAAAGCGAUCGAAGGGCCCACUGGAGACCAGGGUGACCCGGGUCUGCCAGGCGUGCAUGGCAUUGUCAAAGAUGGCCGUGACGGAGCACCUGGAGAUCCAGGAGAAGCAGGAGAAGCAGGAAGAGCCGGCAGACCGGGACACCAGGGAUCACCCGGAAUCUGUGACACAUCAGCGUGUCAAGGAGCCGCGGUUCACGGGAAGUCAUCCAACCCCAAGAACCAUUAACAGGAGAAACUACAGAACUCCCUUUCAGGAACGCUUCUGGAGGAGAAACAGAACUGAAGAAGUGUCAGUGGAUGUCAAACCAGCAUUUUCAGAGCCGAAGGAACAUUGAGCAUCAGAGAGGAACGUUCAUGAUUUCCUCUGUGUAACUCAAGAGGCUUGAAGUACCAACAUGUGUAGAUACAACAAAAGACUAAAUACAUCACACCGUGAAACUAGUUGAUGUGAAAAAUAAUUCAGUCAUUGUAUUAGAAGUCUUCUUGUACAGCACCCUUUAAAAGUGUAAUGGAGUACAACUUUGAGCUUCAUGAGGGGUUUUACAGUACCUCAAAACCUGACCUCAACAACAGCAAAAAAACAAACAAGCAAACUAGAGGCUUGUUUGAGGCAUCAAGAAAUGAAACCAAAAUAUUGGAUAUAUUUCUGCAAAUUGAUUUUCUUUUUUAGCUCUUAAAUGUUUAACAUUCAAAGUCACUGUUUGAUGAAGAAACUUCAAGCAUCGAUUGAGAUGCUUCAGACACACUUACUGUAAAAUAUGUCAUUGGCCAUCUGUGGGCUUUAUCAACCUUAUCCACUAGAUAAUGGUGCUGUAAAACUAUUAAAUAUGAUUUUAAAUACUAUUUAUUUUUUCUGAGUUACUGUUGUGUGUACAGUGUUUCUACAGCAUGGUAUUGUAAGAAAAACUGAAUAAAGCCACUUUUCAGUAAAUUAUUUCUCUUAGA
ensembl:lncRNA